rnacentral:lncRNA from 1 species
UUGGUGCUAAUUGUGUUAAUUGACAAGUCCUGGGGACCCUCCCAGCUCUGCCCUUGCCAUGGUUUCUCUGGGGCUGGGGGCAUUGCUUUGUCCCCAUGCUGGCUCUUUGCCCCCCCGCACCGCGUCCUGGUGUCCGUGGGCUCGGCAGCCGGCUCUGCCUGGGAUGGGAAGGAGCAGGCAGAGACGUUUUCCUCGGGAGGAUUUAUCCCCCAGAGAUAAAAAGCAGCCGCCCAGCAUCCUGGGUCCUUUUCCUGUUGCAUCUGACUGUAAUGAAGUGCUCGCUGAUGGAUGGGCACAUCCCAGCUCCCGCGGGGCAGCAGCUCCGGCGGCCGAGCUGGCUGCGUGGCAGGGAGGUGGCUGCCACCACCGGCUGUCCCCAGCCAGCUGAGAGCCAGCAGCAGGUCCCCGCGCUGUCCCCGUGCCCGUCGCCCCUCCAGCCAGGGCUGCAGGUGAACAAAAUCCUUCCCUGCGGUUCCUCUUCCCCCGCCCCCAGCAGCCUCUCAGCUCUCUGCCUCCCGCUGCGAGGCCACGAUCUGCUGCUAAUUGCGUGUGUCACUCGCUCCUCGGUACAGCUGAGCGUGUGCAGGGAGCUGGCGCAGCCCAGCCUUCCUCCUCCCUGCGCGGGUUGCUCCCGGCCCUUUGCACCUGCGUGGUGGGGGCUGCCCCGCUCCCAUGGGGGCUGCCCCGCUCCCAUGGGUGCCAAGGGGCUGGGUGCUGGGGGAGGCGGUGGGCUUGGCACGAUCUGGUGUCCCCAUGGCCUUGGGGACAGCGCAGCGUGUGCCAGCGCGGUGUUUGCCGCUGCUGCACGUGAUGGGGCGCAGCGCUCAGCCAGCCCCCAGGCUGCCAGCUCCAGCAGGAGGUUUUUUGGGGGCUGCCUUGGGGCUGCCCAGAGCCAUGGUUUGUGCGUUCAGCCCCCACCUGUGCACCCAAGGGUGCCGCAGCGCUGCCCCGUGAGCCCCAGGGGUGUGCACGGAGGUGGGAGCCGCAGCCCCAGCACUCCCCGUGCCGGGAUCCGGGUGAGUGGUGGGAGCGGAGACCCCCGGGGGGGGCACGGGGCGAGCACCCUGCCGGGAGCCUUUCCUUGCACCGUGUGGCUUCCCAGCGCCUUUCCUUGUGCUUUCCCACACGUUUUGCUCGCUGGCAGCCGUGGCGGUGAACGCGCUCGCUCCUUCCCCUGCCGGAGCCGGUGCCGGGGAUGCCGGGGUGCCGCCGGACUUUGCCUGGGGUUUCCAUGGAAACCCCGCUGCAGCGAUGUGCUGCGAGCUGCAGAGGGGCUGCAGAAGGGGAAGUCCGCCCUGAGCACCCCCCUUCCCCGUGCCCUUCACCCGGUGCAAUUCCCCACACGCAGCCAAAAGGCUCUCUGGCUUUUUCCUCUUGCUAAUUUGUUUAUUUUUAACACCCUUUUCCAGGAAGGAAUGGGCUGUCAGCUUGCUAAAUGCCUGAGGAUCUCCCUUGACAGCUUGGAGCAUUUUUUUAUAAACAAUUUCUCAAAGCAGCUAAAAGGAGUGGAGCUUUCCAAACAGAAAGGGAGGUGGCCGGGGACAGGCGCUCCGUGAGUCAGUCCCGGCGGCUCUCGCCAUCCCUGGGGACAGCCCCGUGGGCCACCUUGUGCCGGCCCCGCGGCUCGUGGCAGGUGCUGGGGCUGGGGGUGCCCACGGAGCGUUGUGCCAGGGAUCCCAGCCCCCCCGAAUGCUCCCAGCCCCCAGGACGAGCUGGGGUUACCCCGCUCUUUGCAGGGUGGAGGAGGUGCUGGUGAGGGUAGCGUGCUGCUACAUCC